rnacentral:rRNA from 1 species
AUACAUGCAAGUCGAACGCGCAGCGAAAGGUGCUUGCACCUUUCAAGCGAGUGGCGAACGGGUGAGUAACACGUGGAUAACCUGCCUCAAGGCUGGGGAUAACAUUUGGAAACAGAUGCUAAUACCGAAUAAAACUUAGUAUCGCAUGAUACAAAGUUGAAAGGCGCUACGGCGUCACCUAGAGAUGGGUCCGCGGUGCAUUAGUUAGUUGGUGGGGUAAAGGCCUACCAAGACAAUGAUGCAUAGCCGAGUUGAGAGACUGAUCGGCCACAUUGGGACUGAGACACGGCCCAAACUCCUACGGGAGGCUGCAGUAGGGAAUCUUCCACAAUGGGCGAAAGCCUGAUGGAGCAACGCCGCGUGUGUGAUGAAGGCUUUAGGGUCGUAAAGCACUGUUGUAUGGGAAGAAAUGCUAGAAUAGGGAAUGAUUCUAGUUCGACGGUACCAUACCAGAAAGGGACGGCUAAAUACGUGCCAGCAGCCGCGGUAAUACGUAUGUCCCGAGCGUUAUCCGGAUUUAUUGGGCGUAAAGCGAGCGCAGACGGUUGAUUAAGUCUGAUGUGAAAGCCCGGAGCUCAACUCCGGAAUGGCAUUGGAAACUGGUUAACUUGAGUGUUGUAGAGGUAAGUGGAACUCCAUGUGUAGCGGUGGAAUGCGUAGAUAUAUGGAAGAACACCAGUGGCGAAGGCGGCUUACUGGACAACAACUGACGUUGAGGCUCGAAA